rnacentral:lncRNA from 13 species
ACCAUUUCUUACUGCUGUUAUAAAAACGGCCAAAUCUGAAUCAAGCCAAUUAUCUUUCAGCAUACACAGAUAAGAGAUUAGCUAGACCCUGUUAGAUCCCUUAGUUUAGGCAGAUGAUUGCUAUGGCUCAACAAGAAGGCCUGUUCUUAGGCAAGGUCUGCAGAAAGGAGCUGCCAGAGGGAAAUUCUCUGCUCAUGAAUAUUUGCGAGAACAAGGAGGUACGCUGUCUGUCCUCUCCUUAAUGGUACCUUUUUUGUAGAAAGUUUUUCAGGCAUGUAGGAGAAAUCUCUUUCUUAUAUUCCAAAGUAAUUAUGAAAUCAGAUUUCCUGCCUACUAAAGGAUUGGGCAUGGAAGGGUUUUAGAGACUUACCAUUGUAGUUAAAUUUAUUUUAAAAAUAUUAUGUGUUAUUUCAGAACCUGUUUUCUUUGUAUUCAUAACCUAGAGCUGUAAUUAUUUACAUGAUACAGAUUUAUGGUAUUUUAGUGUUUAACUCCAGUUCUUGGUUGUUGCCGAGUUCUUAAUGUUGAUUUAUGCUGAUUUCUUCAAGUAUGCUGAUUUCUUCAAGCACUUUUCACAAUGAAGAGAGAUGGAGUAAAACCAGUCAGCAUCAAUCAAUUACUUGGACCCUUGAAAUAGCAUGAACUAGCAAUCCUCCAAUAAAUCAGUGAAAAGAGGCAUUGGGAGAUGAAAUAUAGUGAUCCGGCGCGGUGGCUCACGCCUAUAAUCCCAGCACUUUGGGAGGCCGAGGUGGGUGGAUCACGAGGUCAAGAGAUCGAGACCAUCCUGGUCAACAUGGUGAAACCCCGUCUCUACUAAAAAUACAAAAAAUUAGCUGGGCAUGGUGGCGCGUGCCUAUAAUCCCAGCUACUCAGGAGGCUGAGGCAGGAGAAUUGCCUGAACCCAGGAGGCGGAGGUUGCGGUGAGCCGAGAUUGCGCCAUUGCACUCCAGCCUGGGUAACAAGAGCGAAACUCCGUCUCAAUUAAAAAACAAAAAUAAAAUAAAAAAUAUAAAGUGAGCUCUAUGAAAA